UCCUGGUGGCUCAGAGGUUAAAGCAUCUGCCUCUAACACAGGAGACCUGGGUUCAAACCCUGGGUCAGGAA
rnacentral:tRNA from 1 species